rnacentral:rRNA from 1 species
UACGAAGGGGGCUAGCGUUGCUCGGAAUCACUGGGCGUAAAGGGCGCGUAGGCGGGAUGGCAAGUCGGUCGUGAAAUCCUUCGGCCCAACCGAAGAACGUCGGCCGAUACUGCCGUUCUUGAGGGAUGCAGAGGAGACUGGAAUUCCCGGUGUAGCGGUGAAAUGUGUAGAGAUCGGGAGGAACACCGGUGGCGAAGGCGGGUCUCUGGGCAUUUCCUGACGCUGAGGCGCGAAAGCGUGGGGAGCAAACGGG